rnacentral:rRNA from 1 species
UACGUAGGGUCCGAGCGUUGUCCGGAAUUAUUGGUCGUAAAGGGCUCGUAGGCGGUUUGUCGCGUCGGGAGUGAAAACUCAGGGCUCAACCCUGAGCGUGCUUCCGAUACGGGCAGACUAGAGGUAUGCAGGGGAGAACGGAAUUCCUGGUGUAGCGGUGGAAUGCGCAGAUAUCAGGAGGAACACCGGUGGCGAAGGCGGUUCUCUGGACGAUAACUGACGCUGAGACGCGAAAGCUAGGGGAGCGAACAGG